GAUGAGUCCAGCGCCGAAUCCGGGUGCGCCUGCGCGCGUGCCUGGAAAUGUGGCGUAUGGGAGACUGCGUGCCGUCGGCGAAGUCCUUGGAGCAAGUCCCCUUGAUUGGGGCGAGCGUAAUGCGACCAAAGCGGGUGCGAGUCCCGUAGCCCUUGGUAACUGUCGGCGGAGUGCGGUCUCUCGUGAGUCGGGUUGCUUGAGAGUGCAGCCCUAAGAAAGGUGGUAAACUCCAUCUAAGACUAAAUACGACCUCGAGACCGAUAGCGAACAAGUACCGUGAGGGAAAGUUGCAAAGAACUUUGAAGAGAGAGUUCAAGAGUACGUGAAACUGUUCAGAGGAAAACGGGUGGGCGUUCGAACCCCCCCUCGGCGGUUACCCGGAUUCAGUCCGUCGCUUUUUCCGGAGAGUUAUCGUUCGUCCGUUGCAGUGUCGGUGGCCGCUUUUUGCGGGCCCGAUAGUAUUUUUGGCGACGACGGUUCGGUUUUCUUCCGGGAUGCGGUGGCGGACGCAUUUCCGUGGUUUCUGCCCGAGUAUAGGGCGCUGCGACCGAUCGGGCACCAAAAGAGUGCCGGCCAUGGGUCCAGUUUAGCGGUUAGGAGCGCUGUUUCGCGAGCGCGGGUUUGCGCCCGUGCGAGCGUCAGUUUGCUCCUCCGGCUGGGCGUUAACCAUGGUCGGUCGGCCGAUCGGUGUGUGCAGAAGUGCAGUGGUGUGCGGUGCUCUCGUAACUCGAGUCGUGCCGAGGUGCAAACAUUUUAUUAAGUGGUUCCGCCGGUUUAGCAGUGUCCGCGUCUCCGGGCGCGGGCCGAAUUUGAAAAAAGCUUUCCGGUUUUUGUUUGUGAACCUCGUGCCUCGGAUUUUUUUCGGCUCGGUGAGUUGUCGCCUAACCAUCGCGGCGAGCGUCUCGGUGUCCCACCCGACCCNNNNNNNNNNNNNGACCAAGGAGUCUAACCCGUAUGCGAGUCGUAGGGUCUUGUUUAGGCCCCGUGGCGUAGCGAAAGCAAAGUCGAGACAUUGGAAUAUUGCGUUCCUUUAGCAUCGGCGGCCCGGCGGUGUGGCCGGGUGGCACGGCCCGUUCGGGUCAAACCGAACGGCGAGUCGUGCCCGGCUCGUCGGAGUCUGAGCAUACGAGUUGGUACCCGAAAGAUGGUGAACUAUGCCCCGCCAGGGCGAAGUCGGAGGAAACUCCGGUGGAGGCCCGAAGCGGUUCUGACGUGCAAAUCGAUCGUCGGAGCGAGGUAUAGGGGCGAAAGACUAAUCGAACCAUCUAGUAGCUGGUUCCCUCCGAAGUUUCCCUCAGGAUAGCUGGCAUUCGUGAAACUCAGUCUCUCCUCGUAGAGAGAAUGAAUAGAGGCCCUGGGGCCCUAGACGACCUCAACCUAUUAUCAAACUGCUACGAGGUGCGUCGGUAGGUGUUUGUGUGUGGACUUGCUGACUUGAAGUCCCGACCUACGCUAUGGGAUGUGCGAGUGCCGUGUGGGCCACUUUUG
rnacentral:rRNA from 1 species